CCGGAACAAAAUAGAAACAAAAAAAAGAAACAACAAAUUGUUGUUUCUAGCCUUGAGAAACACUUCUUGGACGCUCGAAAGGAACAAAAAUGAAAAGAACAAAAAACGAAACGGGAACACUUCGUUCGUUCGUGCUCUCCUUCGUUCGUCCCCUUCUCCUUCGUUCGUCCUCCUUCUCCGGCGACUCCUCACUCGGCCAACGCUCCGGCGAAGAACGACGCCGACGCACCGGCUGUCUCCGGCAACUUUCCGGCGUGUCUCCCUUCUCUCCGGCGCCUCCCACUCGGCCUCGUCUCUCCGGCGACUCACUCCGACUCCACCGGCUGAAGCUCCGAAUCCAGGCUGGUGAAGCACGUGGCAAGGGCGUUCAACGACGAUUUCACCACCAAGGGGGAGAACCAGCCGAAGUCGGGCCGCAGCGUGGUUGUGUGGCAUCGUAAGAAGGUAAUAACUAAGGGUAAUGCUGCCUUGUGUUGGCUGAAUUUCAUGGUUGCAUUCUAUAUGUAGCAUUACUAUGUAUUUCUUGUAGCUCAAAAUGCAACGUAUGAUCUGUUUUACACAAGUUAGUUCAACAUUUUUGUCUUUUACCAAACGUGUUUCUGUUCUUUUUCUAUUCUAGGAACAGAAAUUGACUGCAGUUACCAAACAUGUUUCUGUUCUUUUUUUAUUUCAAGAACAGUUUUUUUUUACACUUACCAAACGCGUUCUUUUGUUCAAAAACUGUUCCCCGGAACAGAAACACUUUUUUUUGUUUCUGUUCCCAGGAACAAAAAAAGAGCAGAAAUGUUUCCAUGCGCUUCCUAUAUAACUAAUGUUUGUAUUAAUUGUCAGUUGUUGUUACAAAUAAGAAGUCGUUGGUAGAAGGAUGAAGUCACCCUAAACAAUACAUAGGAGCUGCUCUGGACUCCUUGAUUCCAGAAAUUAAUUAAGCUUUCGAAGAGCUAUUUUCAUUUCGAAUUUCAAAAGAUGCGAGUUUAGGAUGGUGCAUACAGGUAACGUAUGAUUCCCGGCCAUCUAGGCAAGUCAGAAAAAGCUGUCAUAACCAUUGAAAAUGUUUAUAUUUAAAGAACUGAAGUGGCAUUGAAUGGACUUCUUCCUCUUAUAACAAAAGUAACUCUGGCCAAAGAUAUAACAUAUAUUUUUGGGGGGUCAUUUUUUAAGUGCGUGUCCAUGGCAUAGUUUAGUGUGAGUGCAUUAUUCUAAAAGAUCUCACGCCUUUAGGAAAUGUUUGAUACAAGUCAUUACGAAUUAGUCCCAUUAUAAAUGUAAGAGCCUAUUAUUGCAACCCUAUUGAUUCAUGAUAUAACUCGAACUUAUGAUCUCAUAAAAAAUAGUGUGCCGUCAUUAUUACGAGGCUACCCCACUUGAUUGUCGUCAUUCUCUUAUCCUUGAGUGCAACGCAAAAGGCUAGAUUUGGUCACAAUGAAAGCUUUUGGGAAACACAAAAACGAGUAGUCGCAGAAAUUGUUAUAUUAAUUUGAAAGUCAGUCAUAAUUGAAGGUCGCUAAAGAAAAAGAGUUUUAUACUAAAACGCUUGCCUUUGAUAUCACUCACCUUAAGUCUUAGUGUAAUCCUUUAUUCAAACAUGACUGAAAUUAACCUUAUUAUAUACAUAGUUUCACCACCUUAUAGCCUGUUUGUUUGCAUUAGGUUAGUUCAAGUACUAGUUAUACCAAAAAUUGAAGUACUUUAUGGAACUACCUUCCCAAAUUCUAAAAGUGACAAAGGAUUAUUCUAGAAGAUUUUAAAAAAUGUAAACAAAAAUUCCGAAUCACUUCAAGUGUUAAGAAUUGGAUUUUUGAAGGUUUCAAGUGUUCCAUAUUAUAUAAAAGCUAAACGUUGAUAUCACUUUACCGAAAAGAAAAAACUAUUACAAAAAAAGGAAGAAGAAAAGAAUAGAAAACGAAGUAAAAGCACCGCCACUACACCUAGCUUUUCUGUUGGAAUUUUUAGCAUGUAAUUAAAGGCCGGUCAAAACCCCAUUUAUCCCCGAGUAUCUCGUGGAUUUUUUCUCUAUCAAUGUUUGCAUCGGACUUGUGUUUUGUAAAUUGUUUUUGGUGGAUGGCGCCUAAUAUGAAUCGGAAUAUGACUUUAUCUAAAUAAUAUACUCGGGUGUUAUUUGCGCAUUGCUGUGUGAUAAAAAAAUUUAUCGAUCAAUAAUCAAGGCAUUUAGAAUGACUGUUUAGAAAGAUUUCUAUGAAAUCAAUAAUUCAGUUAUUUUUUUCUUCAGUUUUUCUAUACCGUUAUAUUAAUAAAUAAUUUCAAAUUCUCAUUAUUCAAGUAUCCUUUUUCUUUAAAUCCCUAUUUGCCUCCUUUAACAUCAUAGCCAAUCAAUGUGAAAGGUAUGUGGACAAUCUCUUUUAUUUCUUUAGGAAUUGAAUUUGAGCAGCACCACUGAUUAAUUAUGACUGCUCAUACUAUGGGAGUGAGAGCAAGUCCAUACUUAUAUGUAAUUUUCAGUGUGUUGAAUCGACUAAGCUAAACUUGUAAAAUUAUAAUCUUUAUAUAUGCCAGACGUUUUACUCAUAUUGUAGUGUAUGGAAAGUAUCUAUAAGCUGUAUCAAUACCAAUAUUUUCAAAAAUAAAAAAUAGACUAAAGGGAAAAAAUUGGACAAAAGAAAAUUGAGAAAGAAUAAAAAAAAGAAAACGUGAGAAGAGAGGGAGAGAGCUGUCGGGCGAAAAAGAGAACCCAGCGGGGGGAGAGUUCAUGGAAGGAUGACACCGUACCUCCUAAGAACUAUCAUUUCUUACAAAAGUACAGAUAGAUUUCUAUUAAUCAUGUCAAAUCAGUUCAAUAGUCUAUUUUAGGAACUCCAGGUAGGACUUUUUAACCGAUGUGUAUUAAAUUCAGUUGCCGUUGCCAAGAACUCUCCUUUUUAACAAGACACAUGAGCUCUCUUUACUCCUUGAUUUUUGAAGCAAAUUAAGCUUUUAGAAGAGUUAUUUUGAUUUCGAAUUCCAGAGGAUGUGAGUUUAAAAUGGUGCAUCCAUGUAUUGCUCCCAUCUAAUUAAGUAAGAAAAAGCUAUCAUAACCACCAAAACUGUUUAGAUUUAUGAAAUUUGACGUGAUAUUAAAGUUAUGUUAGAUAUAAUUGAUACGGCAAAUAAUUCAAUCUCUCUUAUUAUACAUGACACAAGAGUAAUCAUAGCAUUAAAAAAAUUGAAGUUUUAUUUAUUUAUUUAUUAACGAGUGUCCCUAAGUCAUUGUUUAAUAAAAUCCUUUUCUUUUCUUUAAUAAUUUAAGUUUCCUAUACCAAAGACCAUAGAAUUAUGAAAAUUUUGAUUGGUAAAGCUUGAUCCUCCAAACCAACAAUUAAUUGAAAUAUGGUUGUUGCGAUGUAGAUAUUGGGCAAAGAUAGAUCAUUAGGGCUUCUUGAAAUAUUCACUACCCAAUGGCUCUAUAAAUAGGGUUAAUACCACAACAAAUUUCCAAACGAGUACCCAAUUGAUACUCUAAUCUAAAUCCACUCUUCAUUGACAUUUCGUCUAAUAUCUCAAUAAAAUGCAUGCAUGUCUACGGAAGUAGAUGAUGACAUAUUUGACAUAUGUUAAUAAGUAUGCAUGUCUAUGGAAAUACUAGUUUGAGAUUUUUAAUAGUAUUAAUCCCAAGAAAUAUGAUUUUAGGAGGAAAAUAAUAAAAUUUAUAAAACUUAAUGAUGACUAAAUUAUACCGGUGUAUACAUCGCAUGCUAGAGCACGCGAAUAUGUUUUUAGUAUAAAUAUAAAGUUUUCAUGCCGUUGCAAGCAAUCGGAUUUAAGCCAACAUUUUGGUUAAUUGGACAAGAUGUCAAGGUGGUUGAAAUAUCUUCUUUUAAUGUUUGAGGGCUUAAGGUGUCAACAUUUACUUCCCAAACUGGGGCAACCUAAGAACCAUCACAGGCUUAAGGCGGUUGAAUUCUCUUCUUUUUAAGUUUACAUUUGUUUUCCCGCCCUCAAGUUAAUUACUUUAUCUUCUAGAGAGGCAAAAAUAUAUUCGUGGGUUUGCGAACCCAAUCAAGGAUGCUUAUAUUGGUACUCUCGUUUUUGUCUUAUCCUUAUUUUUCUUUCAUAAACGAAAGAAAGGAACAGACGAUCAGCGUAUACCUUCCUAUACGGGAUCUCACGCCGUUACGAAAUAUUUGAUAUAAAUCCUUACAACUUAAUCCACUUAUAAAGGUACGAGCCCGUCAUCAAUAUGCCAUAAGCAAAAAAUCUCUCCACAUAACGUAAGAAAUACACAAAGCAUAUACUAGAGAAUUACUCAUGAGAUAACUCGAACUUGUGAUCUCAUAAAAGAUAGUGUGCCCUCGUUAUCACUAGGUUACCCCAGUGCACCUACCUUUUCAUUUGGAAUUUUUUAGUAUGUAAUUAAAGCCCAAUUAAAAUCCCAUUUACUCCUAAGCAUCCCAUGGACUAUUAUUAAGCCUAAUUCCCGGUGUAGAUAAAUUUUUCAUAGGCAAGCUUAUCCAUUCUUGAUUUGAUUGUUAAUGAGAGAGUGAGUAGUUAAAAUCCUCUAAUCAAAGAUGGAUAAGACCGCUUGUGUAGUGUUUUCUUUAUACCAUUAGUGCAUACUCUAUUACUGCUUUCGUUGGACUUGUGUCGUGUUAAUUGCUUUUGGUGGAUGGCACCUAAUAUAAAUCGGAAUAUGACUUUAUAUUAGUAAAAUACUAGGGCAUUAUUUGCGCCUUGCCGGGUAAUAAGGAAAUCUAUCGAUCACUAAUGAAGGCUUUUAGGAUGAUUGUUUACAAAGAUUUCUAAGAUAUCAAUAAUUCAGUUAAUUCUUUCAUCAAAUUUUCCAUGCCGUUACGUGGACAAAUAAUUUCAAACUCUCAUUAUUCAAGAAUCCUUUUUCCUUUAUUCCUUAUUUGCCUAAUUUUACAUUAGAGCCAACCAAUGCGAAAGAUAUGUGGACUAUCUGGUUUAUUUCAUUAUGAACUGAAUUUGAGUAGUACCAUAUAUUAAUUAUAGCUGCUAAUAUUAUGGGAGCGAUAGCAAGUUCAUAAUUAUAUGUAAUUUUUCAAGGUGUUAAAUGGACUAAGCUAAACUUGUAAAAUUGCAUAUUAACAAUAUUUAUAAUCGAAAAUUAGAUAUGCUAGACAUUUUACUCACACUAUUGUAUUUGUGAGGUUAUGAGUUAUAAUUUUGAAAGUAUCAGGGAGUUGUAUCAAUACCAAUAUCUUCAUAUCCGAACUAAAGGGAAAAAGUGGACAAAAGAAAAUUGAGAAAAAGAGGAAGAGUACUUGGAAGGAUGACACCCUUAUUCCUACUAAGGACUCCUUUCUUACAAAGGUACGGAUAGAUUUCCAUAAAUCAUGUCAGAUCAGUUUACUAGUCGGUAGGCCUUUGAAGUAUAAUCUGUCAGUUGUUGUUGCCAAUAACUCCACUUUUCUUUUUCUAUUAAAAAAAAGGAGCUAAAGCUGAAUACCAUAAUUUAUUAUCAUAACUUAUUGUAAAUUAUGUCAUUUGAUUUUAGGAUCUCUAGGUAAGACUCUACAACUAAUGUGAAUUAAAUGUCAGUUGUUGUUACCAAAAGAAUGUCACUUUGUAGUUGGUAGGAGGAUGAAGUUACUCUAAGCAAGACAUAGGAGCGCUGGACUCCUUGAUUUUAGAAGUGAUUUUUCAUGAAGAGAUUGUCCACGGAUGUUGACAAAAUUGAUGGUGGUGAACUCUAUACAGGUUCAGACCCAAAAAAAAAAAAAAAAAAAAAAAAAAAAACUCUAUACAGGUGAAAUCUUCACAUUCAAAUUAGCAGAGUUCUUUAGUUGAGCCAUUGAAAGGUUGCUCACUAAUGUUGGCAUGAUAAUGUACAAAAUGAAAAAUAAAAUGAAAAACUGGUCCAACUAACAUUUAUUGUCCUGCUUCUUAUAUUUUGAUAAAAUAAAUUUUUAAAUUUGGAGUGUGUCUAUUUCACCGAAAUCUUCAUGAUAAAGGAAAACAUUUUCUAUAAAAAGCAUUUUCAAAUAAAAUAAUUAAUCAUUUGUCUGAUGGUUUAUGAAAAAUGAUAUCAUUCUUGUUAGAAGCGGACAUUGGUUUCUUCCAAUCUAAGUCUGUUGGUUUAAAUCCAUGGAAAUCAUUUUUUUUGUACAUUAAGGGCCUGUUUGGCAAAAGUUGUCUUUGUUCCCCGGAACAACUAUUUUUGUUCUUUUAUUCCGGAAAACGAAAAAAGAAUAGAAACCUAUUUAGUAAAACUUUUAUUUUCCGUCAUUUAAACAUGGGCAACAUAAAUAGUAUGUAAGGGCGAAAAUAAGAAUGUUGUGACUUAGACAACUGAAUCCAAGAACUUGGUAGAGCAAAUGGACCACCAACUGAGUAGGCAACUUAGUUCAAAAUGAUAUGCUUCAUAUGUCUUAUGAAUAGACUCAACCAGUUACAAAGAGCUAAUUAUCACCCAAUAUGUAGGAAAGUAUACAAAUUCCCCGAAAGAGGACCCAAGAUCUUGUCGUGACUCAGACAACUGAACCCAAGAUCUUACUAGAGCUAAUGGACCACUAACUAAGCAGGCAACUUAUGUGAAAAUGAUAUGCUUCGUAUAUUUUAUGAAUAUACUCCACUUGUUACAAAGAGUUAAUUAUCACCUAGUAUGUAUGGAAGUAUACAAAUUCCCCGAAAGAGGACCCUAGAUCUAGUCAUGGAGACACAAAAUCCAUCACUUCAUAAGAAAUAAGUUUUUGUGAGUGAUUUCAAUAGAAAAUAAAACCAUAUUUACUACAUCUAAAUUUACUAAUAUCCGAUGUCGUACAAAGGCGGAGUGGAUUGGACUGAUUAUAUAAUAAGGAGAAUAUCCUUUUUUUCACCAAUCUUCACUCACGUUAAUAUUCAUUAAAAUGUGAUUGGUUUGCUCUAAAAAUAAGUCCAAAAGUGACAAGGUGGCCAUGAACAUGUUGCCUAUAAAUACCCAUCAAGUGUUGAUGUUCUGCAACGUAGCGAAAUCCUCUCCUCAGCCUUCAAUUUGUGAUUAGUCCGGCAUAAGCACGAAAAUAGUGGGGAACAUGUUGGUUCAGGUUUCAGCAAUUCCAUCUUCUUCUUUGAGUAAAGGAAGAAGAGGCGGGGUCAAACGCCGGUGGGCGGAAUAUCAUGAGAGCGUAUGGAGCGAUCACUUCCUCAAAUACGCUGCCCCCUCCUACUCAAUAGUUAGUGAUUCUUCUCUAAAGUGAAGUUCAUUCCCUUGAAGAAUGAAGUUGAUCAAUAAUGUUUUUGCCGAAUCAUUUGAAUUAGGUCUGCUGGGAAUAAGUACACUAAUGGUGCCAUAAGUUAUGUACGGUACUCACUUUGGUGCCAAAAGUUUCCGUCGGAUCACUUAAGUGCCAAAAAUUUUGAAAAACGAUCACUUUGGUGCCAUCGCCAAUUUGGUUGGCCGGAAAUCUGACGUGGCAGUUUUUUUAUUAAUUUUUUACGCCGACGUGGAUCACCGGAGAAUACAAUCAGCAUACAAAGAACAAAACGAUGCCGUUUACCAUUUUCCCCCAAAUAAGAAACCCUAAAUCCUCAAUUUUGAUUAGAACUGGAAGUUGAAAACCCUAAAUCCCCAAUUCGAUCAUUUCGAGUGCAUACUUCGAUUUUCUCCCAAAGUUAUCAGCUUGCUCUUGCAAAUGGAGAACAAAAGCUUCAGCAGCGGCUCACAUUCCUAUAAGAAAAGUGAAUUAGAUGGUGAGUAUUACUGUUAUUGUGGGUUACCGAGUCCGAGAAGAACAUCUUGGACUUGGUUGAAUCCCGGGAGAAGAUUCCAUGGGUGCGGCAGAUAUAGAGAAGGCUUGAAGUGCCAAUAUUUCAAAUGGGUUGAUAGGAAAUUCUCUAAUCGAGCGACAGAGGUGAUAUUGUAGUUACUUGAAGGCCAAAAUCAACCUCCACCUAUGUUAAUGGACGAGUUGGAGGAUGUCGACUCAAUGCAAGCUCAAAUGAAGGGUUUAACAUCUUUGGUGGACCAUUUGAAGAGGGAGGUUUCAAGGCUGAAAAUCGAAAGAAACUUUUAUCGAGCGUUGAUUGUGUUCUUAUUCUCUUGGGUAGUUUAUUCAAAUGUAAAGUGAGUAAUGAGAAGAAGUUUGUAUGUCUACCAUAGUCAAAGAUAUGGAAUAUGCACUUGUAUUGGAUUAUUUAUAAGUAAAAUGUGUUUUUUGGUUUGUUGCAAUUUUUGUAUGAAGCAGAAUGUUUUGUUGUUGUAAUCUAUGAGUAGAAAUGCAAGGUU